rnacentral:misc_RNA from 1 species
AAACUCUUACUGGAAAACGUGAUUAUUAGAAGCCUGGCGUCGAGAACACUGAAGAUGCAGCAGAUGGCGCAAAAGAGAUUCUAAAGGAUCAGAACAUACUCUUUUUGGUACAACUCAUCAUUUGGAAUUUGUGCAAACAUGGUAUAUUAACAAAAUGGAUCUUUCAUUGCCAGGGUUUUUCAAGAAUUUUGCUAUAAGCUUAACAGAUGAAGAACCGAGUCCAGAAGAAUUCAAAUGUGAGCAGAUUUAUUGUGGUUAUAUGGAUGACAUACUAAAUACAGAUCAGGCCUGGAAGGAAGUGGAAUUAUGGCAUAUCCAUUAUAACAACUGGACAAACAUACAGAGAAAGUUCAAGGCUGCUACUAGAUGGAAAGUAUUAUCAGAAGAAGUCUUUAUAAAAUUGCCAUAUGGGCAGACAAUUCUUUUGCAAGAUGUUAUACGUUCUCUAGGAGAAAAUUCUCCCUAGGUUUGCAUGGAUUUUGUUUUAUACACAAGUUAUAAUUUAAUGAAACUUUUUAAUCUAAAUUUCAUAUGUAUGAAAUAUAUUGUUAGUUUUCAGUUUUUUAAACACAUCUACAUAGCUGACUUAUAAGAUUAUUUAUUAUCAUACAUUAUUUAAAUGAAUCUCUUUGUUUAGCAACUAAUAUUGAGUUUAAAUUUCAUAUGUGUGAAAGAUGUUAAACUUGUUAAAAGUUUUAGAAAUGCUUUUUAUACAGCUAGUUUAUUAAAUUAUGCAAAAACAUAUGUGCAUAAUACUUUUGUCUGUAUUUUAGUUAUAAAUCAAAUUAAAAUGCUAUAAAAUAUAAAUUUUUAUUAUUUCAUUCAUUCCUUUUUCUCCCCUACAAAAAAAAAAAAAAAAAAAAAAAAAUAUUAAAUGAGAGGCCAUUGAGAACAAAAAAUAAUAAACAGUAAUCUGUAAAAGUCUUUAUGUCAAAAUUCUCUAAAAAAAGAAAAUUUUAUAUGAUGCUUGGAAAGGAGGAAAGACAAACUUAUUCAGUUGCACUACAGCCUUUCAUAGUCCAAGUGUGCAGGCAAGUUUUAGAAGGCAGGCACAAAUUAGUGUUGUGCUCCAUCAAGAUAUUGUGAACUGUGCUACGUUUCUUCUUUGGCCGAAGGGAAUGUGCAGGCAAGCCUCAAUAUUUAUUUAACAUCAAGUCUGUUCACAGCGACCGCUCAAUGAUAGAGUGAAAUAGAAGGCUACAAUUGGUUUCUCUUCCUUCUGUUGCUGGGCUCCGAGGGUGUAGGACGGUCUUCUGGUUGUCCUUACCCAGGAUGACGCGUGAGCCAUUUUGUUCUUUUUCGACCGCCAUCUCAAUAUUGUAUGAAGAGCAAUAUAUUCCUCCUAUAAAGAAAUUAGUACUGAAGGUUCAACUAAAAUAAUGUAGACUAACUGCCGCUGUAAAUUGACGAUGUUCUACAAUUAAAAAAAUCCUCGAAAGGACUUCAUGUGCACGUGUUCCACUUUCCGGAUGAUAUGAUUAUUCACCUUGUGUUUCUUCAAAAAUAUACUGGAAUAACCAGUCAACUCAAUUUCCGUCAUUAUAUAAUUUACUUUUUUUAUCACGGAACUUUGCUUGACGUUGAUGUAAUGAGAUCUACUUGGAUUGGAACAUGACGCACGUCUCGUACGAAAAGUUAGGAUUCAAAAAAUGGUAGGACUGCGACUUUCGGCCUCUACAUGAUCACGACUGAUAUUCUUCUGUCUGGCGAUAUUUAUUCAAUUUAUGCUGGUACCGAUUCAAAAUUUAAUGAUGCCAAGAUAUAAUAAAUAUUAUUUAAUUUACAUUAUCUGAAUUGUCAUCCUUUGGGAGUAAGUUAUUAGUAUUUCUGGCUUAUUGCGCUAUUUUUUAUUACAUCAAGGCCAUCUUAACAAGCUUCCUCCAACGGAUCUGAUUAGUCGCUAUGGUUCGCCAAUGACAGAUUUUUAGAGUCCUGAGAUCUGCCUCUGUGCGAUGUCUUCCUCUUUUCCUGGUAUCUUAUAGGUUUGCAAAAAUAAAUAAUUUAUUUAAAAGGGUCCGGACAGCAUCGAUGGUAUUUUUGUAAUCAAAGCUAUAUUGUAAACUAAGCAAGGUUCUCGGUAAACAGAAGAGAAACACCCUCUAAUGACAUUACAAAUUAAUUAUCUAUGAGUUUCCUCGACACUUCUCAUCUGAUAAUUUUGCAAAAUUAUCACUACUUUAGUAUACAAAAAAUAAUGAUUUCAAAUGUAAGAAAUCUGCUUACAUGGCACAUUUGCCUUCUGUUAAGAUAAACAGGAAAAGGGAAACUAUAAAAUUAGCAAAUGUAGUUAACAGCAUAAGAAUUCAAAAGUUACUCUUAGUGAAUAUUAAAUUUAAUUGUAAGCAGUAAAUUCUAAGCAAAAACUCGGCUAAUUAACUAAAAGUUAUAUAAGUGUACAUGAAAUAUAAGAAAAUUUAAUAAAAUUUAUUUAUUCUUUUCAUUUCUGUCAAGUUCAAGGGGUCAAAAUCAUCUGCAUAAUUCUUUUAAAAUCUCCUCUUUUAGAUACAUAAUUUGACUUAGAAUGUCAGAAUUUAUUUCCAUUAUCUUGUUAUAAGAGAUUUAACAGGAGUUUGCUUAGCCUUCGCUAUUUCCAUUUUUAAAUCAAUUUCUACCAAUUAUAUCUUUGUUUAACUAAGUUUCUCUUUCGAUUUUAUGUACACUAAGAAGAGGAGUUAGAAGUAAUUUGCAAUACAAAAUCCAUUUCAUAACAACAAGGAAUAGUAAAGCGUACCCUGUCAAAGAUUAAGGCAUAAUCUUAUUCUUACCCACUUACUCCAAACUGUAGCAUAUCCAUUUGCUAAAAAUAUUAGAUGAUUUUUAUUUUGCAUGCCUCUAAGCAGGAAACAUCCCUGAAGAUUUUACACCGCAUUUUUGAUAUCAAAACACAAAUUGUUUACAUGACCUUGAAAUGACAGUAGCACAAUAAUUCACCCCCCUCAACACAUGACCAAAAAUAAAAACUGAUAAAGUACUUAGUUACAAAAAGAAAUAAUUUAUUUCCUUAAUCAUUUGGAGAAUUUUCUCAAAAACUUGUUUCUACAAGCAACAUAAUAUGAAGUAUUUCAUAUUAAAGCGUUCAUUUUUUUAUUACAAAUUAAACAAUCAACAUGUUUUGGUUCUAGUUUAACUCUCCAGCAUCACAGGUUUAGCUCAGAAAUUUCAGUUUCUCAAAAUGUCAUAAAUUACUGGUAUUUUCUUGAUUAUAGUUAAAAAUGAUUCUCUCACUUUGUAUCUUGAUUCCUUUUCUUCUAAUAUAAAUCCAACCCAAAAUCAGAUAUAUUAAAAGCUGGCAGAAAUUUCCAUGUGUAAUGAAUAUGAAAGCAACCCUUCUGUAUGAAAUUUUCCAUUCAUAACUCUGAGAGGGUUUAAAGUAAAAUAUUCUUAUGUAAUAAAAACUUUUACAAUUUGAGACUGAAA